rnacentral:rRNA from 1 species
GCGCGUGAGAGAACGCUGGUUAAGGAACUCGGCAAAUUGACACCGUAACUUCGGGAGAAGGUGUGCCCUUUGACGUGUAGGACUUCGCGUCUGAAGCGUUGGGGGGUUGCAGAGAAACGGGGGUUGCGACUGUUUACUAAAAACACAGGACUCUGCGAACUCGCAAGAGGACGUAUAGGGUCUGACGCCUGCCCGGUGCUGGAAGGUUAAGGGGAGUUGUCAGCGCAAGCGAAGCAACGAACCGAAGCCCCAGUAAACGGCGGCCGUAACAAUAACGGUCCUAAGGUAGCGAAAUUCCUUGUCGGGUAAGUUCCGACCUGCACGAAUGGCGUAACGACAUCCCCACUGUCUCGACCAGCGACUCAGCGAAAUUGUAAUCGCGGUGAAGAUACCGUGUACCCGCGGCAAGACGGAAAGACCCCAUGAACCUUUACUGCAACUUGACAGUGAAGCUCGGGACAGACUGCGUAGGAUAGGUGGGAGGCUGUGAAGCCGGGAUUCUGGUCUCGGCAGAGCCAACCUUGAAAUACCACCCUGUUUGUUCUGGGCUUCUAACCCAGGCGUGUAAGCCACGCCGGGGACACUGUCUGGUGGGCAGUUUGACUGGGGCGGUCGCCUCCCAAAAAGUAACGGAGGCGCGCGAAGGUUCCCUCAGGCUGAUUGGAAACCAGCCGUAGAGUGUAAUGGCAUAAGGGAGCUUGACUGUGAGACCGACAGGUCGAGCAGGUGCGAAAGCAGGUCAUAGUGAUCCGGCAGUUCUGUAUGGAAGGGCUGUCGCUCAUCGGACAAAAGGUACUCUGGGGAUAACAGGCUGAUCGCGCCUGAGAGUUCAUAUCGGCGGCGCGGUUUGGCACCUCGAUGUCGGCUCAUCGCAUCCUGGGGCUGGAGCAGGUCCCAAGGGUUUGGCUGUUCGCCAAUUAAGGCGGUACGCGAGCUGGUUUUAGAACGUCGUGAGACAGUUCGGUCCCUAUCUGCCGUGGGCGCAGGAUACUUGAGAGGGUCUAACCAUAGUACGAGAGGACCUGGUUGGACGUACCUCUGGUGAUCCGGUUGUUCCGCCUGGAGCAUCGCCGGGUAGCUAUGUACGGAAUGGAUAACCACUGAAAGCAUCUAAGUGGGAAGCCAGCCUCAAGAUGAGGUAUCCCGGGGCGUUAGCCCCCUGAAGGCCCGUCGAAGACUACGACGUAAUAGGCUGGGUGUGGAAGCGCAGCAAUGUGUGGAGCUAACCAGUACUAAUCGGCCGUGAGGCUUGACCG